GCUACUGUGAAUGCCGCCAGAAUUGUGCUUUUAAUUGUUUUGUGAAUUGUAGGAGGGCAUACUGCGGCCCUUGAAGUUAACCCUCUCUUCUGACCUACGCGUGAGUUAUAGUAAAAUCCAAUGUUGGUUCGGGGUGUUCUCCUGAUAUUUAUCGGAAUGUCUUCAGAUAUUCUUCAAGUCCCGUUUUUAAAAAUCUUAGCGGAAUUGAAACUUCUCUGUUUGAAGUAAAUUCUCAAACUGAAACUUAUAUUGUUCAGCGGUGUCCGAGAAACCGCCGCUGCCGAAUUGUACAUAAAAAAUCUUACAUGCUAUACAUAAAUGCUUAUACAUAAGUACGAAAAUGAAAUAAAAUGAAUGUUUAUAAAGAAUCCAAA